rnacentral:lncRNA from 1 species
UCACAAGAGGAUAAGGAAUCUUCACUAGAACAAAAGAAACAUCUAGAAACUACGUAAAAGGGUCAUGCAACAAAGCAUGUCAGUGUCUCCGCAUAUCAUCCAUAUGAGUACCAAUAAAAAGCCAAUGGGUUUUGCACUAGAGCAAAGCCAAAUACACAAAAGCAGAGACAUAAUCAAGAGGCAAAAAUGUAUCAUUGAAAGUCUUUUCCAACCAGAUACACCAAAGCACCCAAAAAACAGAGCAUUAAAUUUUGCCAUCUUUAUGAGUGUCAAAACCUCUGAACUCUUGCAUUCCUGUCAUUCUUUCUCAUGUUUUACUCAACUCUUAUAUUACUACCGCCUAUUCUCUUACCUAACUUAUUACCUCGUAUUUCUCUUUCUAUCUAUCACAUCCAUCACCAUCUCUCUUUCCCC